AGAUUGAACGCUAGCGGGAUGCUUUACACAUGCAAGUCGAACGGCAGCGCGGACUUCGGUCUGGCGGCGAGUGGCGAACGGGUGAGUAAUAUAUCGGAACGUGCCCAGUAGCGGGGGAUAACUACGCGAAAGCGUGGCUAAUACCGCAUACGCCCUACGGGGGAAAGGGGGGGAUUCUUUCGAGAACCUCUCACUAUUGGAGCGGCCGAUAUCAGAUUAGCUAGUUGGUGAGGUAAAGGCUCACCAAGGCGACGAUCUGUAGCUGGUUUGAGAGGACGACCAGCCACACUGGGACUGAGACACGGCCCAGACUCCUACGGGAGGCAGCAGUGGGGGAAUUUUGGACAAUGGGGGAAACCUGAUCCAGCCAUCCCGCGUGUGCGAUGAAGGCCU
rnacentral:rRNA from 1 species